CCCAAUCGGUAGAGUCCGCAGCCCCGUACCAAAUCGCCCAGCCAGAGAAAAAACGAAGGGCCGCCGCACCCUUGUCCUCUCCGCUCCACCCUGCUUCUCAGAACCAGACCGCCGCCGCCAUCGCCGCUCGCGCUCCUCCGCCUCCGCCUACCUGCUUCUACCUCCACACGCCCACGAGAUCCUCUCCGCGCCGCCGCCGCCUACAUCCAGGCCCAUGCCGCCUCCCUCGAGCUCCUCUGCCUCCACCUCCCUCGAGCUCCUCCCGACCCUAACCCUAGGCGGUGCCUCCGCACCGGCGCCAUGCUUGCCGGCCGGAUCCACACCGGAGCCUCCUUCUCCGGCCUCGGUAUUAGGUGGAUCUACCCUGACGCCGCCACAUCCUCCUCCCGACAUCGGGCCAGUGCUGCUCCUCCCCAACCUUGGGCUGGCGCACUCCUCCCUGAGCUUAGGCCGGCGCUGCUCCUCCCCGACCUCGGGCCGGUGUACUCCUCCCGGACCUCAGGCCGGCACUGCAGCUCUCUGACCCCAAGCCUUCCCCACACCGGCACAAUGACACCAAGCCCCCUGCUUCCACGCUGAGGGCUUCAAGGCCGACCUCUCUGGUGCAGAAAGAUGUGAGAAAGCGAAAGCUAGAGCCAAGGAGCUUGAGAAGCUGCACCUAAACUAAGGAAGGUACAAAAAUACAGCGAAAUAGAGUUAGCAUGAACUGCCAUCCUUUAUAUUACUACAGUUCAACUUCGAUGUGAACUUCAGUUACCUUUUGUUUCAGUUGGAGUUAUAUCUGUCAUUUUAAGUUCUCUUUAGAUUUGAAAAGAUGUAUAUUUAGUGCAUUAGUUAUUUUAUGUCAAUAACUUGAUGGAUGACAAUGUGAUCUGUAUGUACAAAUUGUGAAUGAUAUGUAUAUGAAACUAUCCUACAAAUUGGAUUUGUUGUAAUCAUGGAUGUGCCUGCGUGUGUGUAUAUUAUUUUCUUAUCUUUUUUAGCUGGUUUAAAAAUUGUAAUCAUAGAUGCAGAUCUGUAUGUGUAAAUAUAUAUUUUUUUAGCUCU